rnacentral:rRNA from 1 species
AGUGAACGCUGGCGGUAGGCCUAACACAUGCAAGUCGAACGGCAGCACAGUAAGAGCUUGCUCUUACGGGUGGCGAGUGGCGGACGGGUGAGGAAUACAUCGGCAUCUACUUUUUCGUGGGGGAUAACGUAGGGAAACUUACGCUAAUACCGCAUACGACCUACGGGUGAAAGCAGGGGAUCUUCGGACCUUGCGCGAUUGAAUUAGCCGAUGUCGGAUUAGCUAGUUGGCGGGGUAAAGGCCCACCAAGGCGACGAUCCGUAGCUGGUCUGAGAGGAUGAUCAGCCACACUGGAACUGAGACACGGUCCAGACUCCUACGGGAGGCAGCAGUGGGGAAUAUUGGACAAUGGGCGAAAGCCUGAUCCAGCCAUACCGCGUGGGUGAAGAAGGCCUUCGGGUUGUAAAGCCCUUUUGUUGGGAAAGAAAAGCAGCAGGUUAAUACCCCGCUGUUCUGACGGUACCCAAAGAAUAAGCACCGGCUAACUUCGUG